rnacentral:misc_RNA from 1 species
UCCGGUUUGUCACCGGCAGUCUCAUUAGAGUGCUCUUUCGUAGCAACUAAUGACAAGGGUUGCGCUCGUUGCGGGACUUAACCCAACAUCUCACGACACGAGCUGACGACAGCCAUGCAGCACCUGUGUUCCAGUUCCCUUGCGGGCACUCCUAAAUCUCUUCAGGAUUCUAGACAUGUCAAGCGUAGGUAAGGUUUUUCGCGUUGCAUCGAAUUAAUCCACAUCAUCCACCGCUUGUGCGGGUCCCCGUCAAUUCCUUUGAGUUUUAAUCUUGCGACCGUACUCCCCAGGCGGUCAACUUCACGCGUUAGCUGCGCUACUAAGGCCUAACGGCCCCAACAGCUAGUUGACAUCGUUUAGGGCGUGGACUAC